rnacentral:rRNA from 1 species
AGGACGAACGCUGGCGGCGUGCUUAACACAUGCAAGUGGAGCGACGAACCGGGGCUUGCCCCGGGGCAGAGCCGCGAACGGGUGAGUAACACGUGGGUUACCUACCCCGAUGACCGGGACAACCCGAGGAAACUCGGGCUAAUACCGGAUGUGGUCUUCGGACGAAAGGAAGCUUCGGCCUCCGCAUCGGGAUGGGCCCGCGGCGCAUUAGCUUGUUGGUGGGGUAACGGCCUACCAAGGCGACGAUGCGUAGCUGGUCUGAGAGGACGAUCAGCCACACUGGGACUGAGACACGGCCCAGACUCCUACGGGAGGCAGCAGUGGGAAUCUUGCGCAAUGCGCGAAAGCGUGACGCAGCAACGCCGCGUGGGGGAAGAAGGCCUUCGGGUUGUAAACCUCUUUCAGUUGGACGAAGCUUCGCGGGUUAAUAGCCUGUUGGAGUGACGGUACCUUCAGAAGAAGCCCCGGCUAACUACGUGCCAGCAGCCGC